CAGAUGAACAAAUGGUGUGAGAGAGCAAUCCUCACUCGUCUGGAGACGAUGAAACUAUUGAGAAGCAUAGCUGGUCAAUUAUUUAUUGUCUUCUUUAUCCGUGAGUAGGCCUCAUACGUUUUAUUCAUACUCUGUGUUAGGCCUUCAACAUGUAUGAUUAUUAUGUUUAUUUGAUACAGUUACUAAAAUACUUUUCUAUUCCAUACUUACUCAUACACAUAAUCAUGCUUUAUUGACGCUUCCCUUGGUCAUUACAUUGUUUUCCAUCCACAGAUUCCUUUCAUAAUGUCAAAAUCCAAGGUAAUUAUAUUGGUUCAACAGUCAUGUGUUUACGAUAAACCUCAAUAGCGUUUCAUCUCUAAUGUUGAACUAGACACAUCCACUUUGAGAUGUGUUAAAAGGUUGAUUAUCUUUUUUUAUUGCCAUCAAUGACUGCUGGCUCAUUCUAUUAUUGUGCGAAUGUGAAUACACUUCAAACUUGGGGGGCUGUUUUUUAACUAACAAUUAUCUUUCCAAUGUCAGCCCUUCCUCAGUCUGUAUUGACGGCGAGCGCGUCAACCAUCAGAGAGGAAGAGUCUGUUACACUUCAGUGUUCGGCAAAGGCAGGGGAUCCUCCUAAAAAAUGUUGGAUUUACCUGAUUAGUCCAAACGGCGAAAAGAACCUUGCCUUCGAAUGCCAGGCGACAUUUACAGGCUCUGUGCUCCUGGCAGAGAACUUGGCUCUCGCUGAUGUGAAGGUUCGGUGUUAUUACACCAACGAUCGGGAUGAGCCUGCUCCACACAGCGACAUCGUGUCUAUCACUGUAGCAAGAGCCCUUCCUCAGUCUGUAUUAACGGCGAGCGCGUCAUCCAUCAGAGAGGAAGAGUCGGUAACACUUCAGUGUUCGGCAAAGGCAGGGCACCCUCCUAGAAAAUGUUUGAUUUUCCUGAUAAGUCCCACUCAGAGCCAAAAAAACAUCGCCUUCAAAUGCCAGGAGACAUUUACAGGCUCUGACCUCCUGAGAGAGAACUGGUCUCUCGCUGAGGUGAAGGUUGGGUGUUUUUACACCAACGAUCGGUGUCGGCUGGUCGUUUUUAAAGUGAGGGAGGAAGGACCGCGCGCUUGGUUGCCAUUGGCCUGCUUGCACUGUUGGUGUAUGGUGGCAUAAGAAUGUGAGAAGUUGUUUCAGGGUGUUUUGGUGAACUACAAAAUAGUAGGGAGGGAUUAGUUAUGUGAAUAAAUUUGAUACAAAGCCACCAGUGGCAUCACUGUAUUUUGAAAGCUGGUGGGCAGCAUGUCUUUGAAAUAGACUACAAGGGCAGAAGGAAGGAUGCAAAGCCCAUUAGUCAAAUCAGGCCUACUCUUGAUUUGUAAAAGUAAAUCUGGGCCUAUUUUUGCCCUCAAUGAAUGAAGUUAUUGGUUGUAAUUUAGCUAUGUUUAUUUUCAGGUACAAUUGUUUUAAGAAAAGACUGACCAAAAGUCACCCUUUCCACACCAUUUCCACAGUAUCAAACAGAACGGUCAGAGUAGCAAACUAGCAAAAGAACGAGAACAUUAUUCUAGAUUCAACCUGAUCUAUAGGCAUGGUGCCUAGCAAGGAAAGUCGCAUAGCAUCACCAACAUGAACAUGACACUAGUCGUGGCGUUUGGUUGCCCUAUCAAGAUUUUUCACAUCAGGGAAACCAUAAACAGCCCACGUUGGAGAUUUGCCAUUAUUCAUUAGCAAACAGGGCCAGCAAUACAGUCGACUGCUAGUAAUGCUACCAGUAAGCCAUGAAUACCUCGAGGCUACUGUUUGUUUGUUUUUAUCCCCGCGUCACCCGGAAGUGAUGAUUAUGUCGACCAAUCAACGGAGGGGGUGUGUAGCUAGAAUUUCCCGGGACCCUUUCAGGCGUCUCGUCUCGUUUUCGGUACCCCAACGGAGGAGUCCCGAGAACGAGGCCGGAACGGGUACGGCAAAGUCCGGGUCGCGCCCACUUUUGGCGGUGGAAACGCGACCCGAUCCGCACCUUUGCGAUCCGAUCCGUUCCGAACCCUGCAGUGGAAACGCGCCAUUAUGCCGCGUUUCCACUGCAGGGUGCGGAACGGAUCGGAUCGCAAAGGUGCGGUAGGGAGGGGGCGGUAUAGCCCAGCUCAGUUCCGAGGUCGCGUUUCCACUGCCGACAGUACCCUUGGUGGUAGGCCGGAUGUCGAUCGCCACGGCAGCUACGUAAACAUCGUAAACAACGUCUUCCUCCCCAAGAAUGCAGACGAACGUCUCCACCUCCUUGUUCGCCCAAGCAAGCUUUUUACGCGACAUGUUAAUUGUAAAGAAUAAUACCUCGAGGCUACUGUUUGUUUGUUUUUAUCCCCGCGUCACCCGGAAGUGACGAUUCUGUCGACCAAUCAACGGAGGGGGGGUGUUGCUAGAAUUUCACGGGACCCUUUCAGGCAUCUGGUCUCGUUUUGGGUACCGCAACGGAGGAGUCCCGAGAAUGGGGCCGGAACGGGUACGGCAAAGUCCGGGUCACGCCCACUUUUGGCGGUGGAAACGCGACCUGACCCGCACCUUUGCGAUCCGAUACGUUCCGCACCCUGCAGUGGAAACGCGCUAUUAGACUGAGCGGCAAUGAGGUCAGAGCGGGUUUGUUUGUUAUCGACAGCGUUGCCAGAUUGGGUAAAUUUCCCGCCAAAUGAUAAUUUUCCCAGCCUAAAGCGGUUAAAAGUAGCCCAAUUGGGUGGGAAAUCUGACCAAUCUGGUAACACUGCUCACCAGCCAGGGAUCCUGCUGAUUGGUUCAUAGCGCAGCGCGACUAGAUUUUUGCGCGAAUCAGACGCCUGUAAGGUCCCACCCAAUCAGAGGAGGACUUUCCUCCUCUCUCCCAUUGAAACCCAUGUUAUUCACCGGCCGCCAGUACUUUCUGAGAAAUGAAUGGGAGUCAACGGAGGCUGAGGGAGGACCUUCCUCCCUGAAGUUAUUGUCAAAAGGCGAAAGGGGGUGCUAAUGUCCCUUUACCCAGGGAAACGAACAUUAUAUUCAAAGGCAUUAAAGUAGUCAUAUUUAAGGGCAUUAAUUCAUAACAGUAGUCUGGGCAAUCUACAUUUUUUAUUCUCAACAAUGUUAAGGAGGAUCUUCCUCCCUCUCCUCAAUGGAGAAACCUCCACUGAGAUAUAUAUAUAUAUAUAUAUAUAUAUAUAUAUAUAUAUAUAUAUAUAUAUAUAUAUAUAUAUAUAUAUAUAUAUAUAUAUAUAUUUGCU
ensembl:lncRNA